GUGCCAGCCGCCGCGGUAAUACCGGCAGCCCGAGUGAUGGCCGAUCUUAUUGGGCCUAAAGCGUCCGUAGCUGGCUGCGCAAGUCCGUCGGGAAAUCCACUCGCCCAACGAGUGGGCGUCCGACGGAAACUACAAGGCUUGGGACCGGAAGACCGAAGGGGUACGUCCGGGGUAGGAGUGAAAUCCUGUAAUCCUGGACGGACCACCGGUGGCGAAAGCGCCUUCGGAAGACGGAUCCGACAGUGAGGGACGAAAGCUAGGGUCUCGAACCGGAUUAGAUACCCUGGUAGUCC
rnacentral:rRNA from 1 species